CUUUAUAUUUUCAGAGUUGUUGCAACGACUUGCAGGCUGGGUUGGGGCUUUCAAGGCACAUUAAUAAAUGGACAAAAACUGCCAGUAGCCUAAAAAUACACAGCAGCUACGAUCCGACUAAAAAAGAGCAGCACGGUUGGCCUCUCCUCACUUGGCAACUGCAGGAGCCACAACAAAUAAAAGGCUUCCCUUCCCCCCCCGCCCCACUUCCAGCCAAGGCAUAAAUUGCACAGAGGAAGAAAUGCGCGCGCGCACGCACCCGCGCACACAUACAAAACGAUAUCGGCGGUUUCGGCGACUAGCGGGGAAAGGGCCAUUAUGCCAAGGUUGCGCCAGAGCCAAACGCCCGGGGGGCAAGAGAGCACCUCCACACCUAAAAGCGGGGAUGCAGAGAGAACCGGGAGAGGAACAACCAGGUCCCGGGCGGGCGCCCUACAUACCUGCGUCUUCCCCGCCUCACCUCAACGCAACCGUGUCCUUCGCUCGCCCAUCCGCGGACGGCCGCGCUCCGGCCUGCCUGGUCCCCCUGCAGGGGCGAGAAAGCGGCGUGGGAGGUUUGGCUUGAUGGGCCGUUUUGUCUCGGCAGGGGGAGAAAGGAGGUGGAAGCGCCGAGCGGGAAGGCGUCUCUCUUGGCUGCCUUCAGCCGCCUUUCCCCUUUAGGCUCGCCAGCUCUAGGCGCUCGCUUUCCCUACCGGAGAAAUGCCAGAGAUCCGGAGCCCUGAGAAGAGACGGCUGGGGCGCUUUGAAGGCUACUUGCAUUGCAGAUGCCGCCUCAAAUGUAGGUAGCCUUGAGUCCGGCGGUCUCCAUUCCUAGGAAGUGAGUGGCAACGUGCAAGGUUGUGAAAUUCCCCCCGUGGGGAAUUUUUUGACGUUUUGCGGAUCUUUGUCCGCUGAAUGUUAGAGAUCUACAUAAAGAGGGUCUGCAAUACACGAAUACCAUCUUUAAGUGCUCGUUUUAGUUCGGUGUAAACAAAGUCAAGUCAUGCGGCACAUAGUACGUUAGUGUGAAAAAGUAAUUGCUCCGUUUAGAAUGAAUAAAUGUCUAUGGAGAUUCUCGGUCACAUAGGUCAUGAUUGUCCCAAAAGUCUUUUUCAAGAGGCAACUUGACUUUCUCUUAAGACGUUUCAAGAAGCUUCUUCAGCCUUAGAUUCAGUAGUUUUAUUUAAUUUCUGUGCUGCUCCAAGACUCUCUAGCUGGGGCACCGACUUUAUCGGCAGUAACUGAAACCUAAACACUCUGUAACUGGGAUCAGUAUCUCACAUUGCAACUGGACAGGCUGAACUCAUACUGGGUGAAGGUAGUAGAUCUCAGCAUCUUUUCUGGAUCUUCCCAACUCUAACCCUGCAUUCUUCUUUGGAGUGGUAGUUCCCACUAUCUGGGACAUAUUAUUUGGGACAUAUUUCAUCCAACUCAUAAAUCCAAUGCAUGAGGCAGACCUGCAAUGGACCAGAGCAUGCCAGUCCCCACCCCACCCUUCACUAUCCCCCCCUGCCCCCAGUCUGCCUUUCUGUACUGGGAAUUAAAAAAUAAAAGUGCAAAAUAGCUUCACUACUAGAACCUUCUGACUAUUCAUAUAGCAUAGAGUCAUACAUAUGACUAGUUGAACUUUUCUAUGGAAAUAUACCAAUCUCACUAGAAAUAAACCUACCAGUGUUCAAACUUUUAAAAAAAUAUGUUAUCCAAGUUUAAAGUUAAAAAUGUUACUUUUCAAAAUGCAAACAUUCAAAGAGGAAGAGGAUAAAUUCCAAGACUAGAUGGCAGUAAAAUAGCUUUUUAAAAGAAAUAUACAAAAGAAAAUAGUUCAUAAGAGUAUAGUAAAAUGUACCAUCUUGUGGUCUGUUGGGAGCAUUGCAUCCCAGGAAAUAGCUUUGGCACUAAGUCUCAUUAAAGGGUACUUAUUAGAUUUGUCAAAUUAAUAUUAUACACUGUAAGAUGUUUUUCAAGUGAUAUUGUAUGGGAAAUACAGCAAUGGUUAGGAUAUUUUUGGGUUAUUUGUCUUUCUGCAUGACCUGCUUGCACUCAGCUGACUGAUUCUUCUGCAGCAAAAUUAAAAAGGCAGCAAAAUGACCUGUCCUUCUAGAUGGUUCUUCUGCAGUUGCCUUUCCAAAUGAGCCAAUGUUGAUAGCUGCCUC